rnacentral:lncRNA from 10 species
CCGAAUAGGAACAGCUCCGGUCUACAGCUCCCAGCGUGAGCGACGCAGAAGACGGGUGAUUUCUGCAUUUCCAUCUGAGAAGCACUGAGUGGUUCCCUGAUUCAGUGGAAGCCAGACAUCCUAUCUAAACCUCUAGAACACCAGGGUCCCGGCUGCUGAGAACUCCAGGCACACGAGGCUGCUUGGGAAAGACUGGAGAAGUGCCAGGAGGAUUAAUUACAGCAGUUAAUGUUUCCAUUUGAAAGGAGAUGAUACUCUGAUCGAAUUAUACUCUGCUCCUUGCCCCAUCUAAUAUUUAUUUGCACAUUAAAGAUAACACGACUGGCUAGAAUUGGCUUCUGAAUAUGUGUGCUCCUUAUCAAGGCCACAGUUUACAGCUUUGCUAGGGAGAGCUAUGGUAAUGAACUACUUGAUCUUUUUUUUUUUUUUUUUUUGAGACGGAGCCUCGCUCUGUCGUCCAGGCUGGAGUGCAGUGGCGCGAUCUCGGCUCACUGCAACCUCCACCUCCCAGGUUCAAGCAGUUCUCCUACCUCAGCCUCCUGCGUAGCUGGGACUACUACAGGCGUGCGCCACCAUGCCCAGCUAAUUUUUGUAUUUUUAGUACAGACAGGAUUUCACCAUGUUGGCCAGGACGGUCCCAAUCUCUUGACCUCGUGAUCGGCCCUCCUCGGCCUCCCAAAGUUCUGGGAUUACAGGCGUGAGCCACUGCGCCCAGCCGGACUAUUUUAUCUUAAAGAGAGACUUGGAAGAGAGGCUGCUGGAAUCCCUAAAGUCUACCUGGAUCUGAUGUAAUCAUGUCUGGCUGACUCAACAGCAGCGGCUUGGAAAUAAAAUGCAAUACGGAACACCUGGAGAGAUGCCUCCUUCUCUUUGUCUAUCUUUCAAGCAUCCCAGACUCAACUUUUAAGAUGUCUCAGAUCUCAGGACAAGAGAAACACUUGCGUAAUGAUAAUCAUAAAAACAGUAAUAGCAGCAAUGCUAAUAAUAAGAAAAUGUAGGAAGAUGUGGGAAUUAGAAAUGAGCAUAUUAAUCUUGUAGCAUUUUGAAUGCACAUAGAACUCAAUCAAGUUGAACUUGACACAGAAAAAUAUACAGUAAUUUCGUGAGAAUGCAAGAUUGCUUUCCAACAAUUGUCACAAUCCACAAGAAAAAUAAACAGAUCUGCCCAGCUGCUUCUUGUCUCAGGGAAAGAGCUUCAUAGGCUUUCAUUCCAGUCUCUGCUCUCCUGUUUCCUCUUCACGGAAGAAUCUUCUGUUUACUACUCUUUAUCUCCUAACCCAGCCUAAUAAAUAGCACACCCACAACUGUAGCUCUCUUCCAUUAGAAG